UUAAGCCAUGCAUGUCUAAGUAUAAGCAAUUAUACAGCGAAACUGCGAAUGGCUCAUUAUAUAAGUUAUCGUUUAUUUGAUAGUACCUUACUACUUGGAUAACCGUGGUAAUUCUAGAGCUAAUACAUGCUGAAAACCCCAACUUCGGAAGGGAUGUAUUUAUUAGAUUAAAAACCAAUGCCCUCUGGGCUCCUUGGUGAUUCAUAAUAACUUUUCGAAUCGCACGGCCUUGCGCCGGCGAUGGUUCAUUCAAAUUUCUUCCCUAUCAACUUUCGAUGUUUGGGUAUUGGCCAAACAUGGUUGCAACGGGUAACGGAGGGUUAGGGCUCGACCCCGGAGAAGGAGCCUGAGAAACGGCUACUACAUCCAAGGAAGGCAGCAGGCGCGCAAAUUACCCAAUCCCGAUUCGGGGAGGUAGUGACAAUAAAUACUGAUACAGGGCUCUUUUGGGUCUUGUAAUUGGAAUGAGUACAAUUUAAAUCUCUUAACGAGGAACAAUUGGAGGGCAAGUCUGGUGCCAGCAGCCGCGGUAAUUCCAGCUCCAAUAGCGUAUAUUAAAGUUGUUGUGGUUAAAAAGCUCGUAGUUGAACCUUGGGCCUGGCUGGCCGGUCCGCCUCACCGCGUGUACUGGUCCGGCCGGGCCUUUCCCUCUGUGGAACCACAUGCCCUUCACUGGGUGUGGCGGGGAAACAGGACUUUUACUUUGAAAAAAUUAGAGUGCUCCAGGCAGGCCUAUGCUCGAAUACAUUAGCAUGGAAUAAUAAAAUAGGACGCGUGGUUCUAUUUUGUUGGUUUCUAGGACCGCCGUAAUGAUUAAUAGGGACAGUCGGGGGCAUCAGUAUUCAAUUGUCAGAGGUGAAAUUCUUGGAUUUAUUGAAGACUAACUACUGCGAAAGCAUUUGCCAAGGAUGUUUUCAUUAAUCAGGAACGAAAGUUAGGGGAUCGAAGACGAUCAGAUACCGUCGUAGUCUUAACCAUAAACUAUGCCGACUAGGGAUCGGACGAUGUUAUUUUUUGACGCGUUCGGCACCUUACGAGAAAUCAAAGUGCUU
rnacentral:rRNA from 1 species